UCAUGACGCCAUCGUGCUCACAACGGACAAUAAGGUCAAUAUCAUCUCCAAGCUUCCACCUGCGGUAACUGACCAAAGUCAGAGUUGUCUCUCUUGUCAAAGAAGAGUUUGGACCCAACUCUCUGGACGACAAUAUCCCAGGAAUACACUGAGCGGGUACAGCUCAUCAGCGUGGCCAGGAUGGCAUCAGUGGCAAACACAUUCCCCUGAGUUUUUGCCAGCUGCCACACCUUGCGGAUGACAGGGUCGUCUGUGGUGGUGACAGUGUGGAAGAUGCGCUUGAUGCUCCGCAGUGGCUUCUCACUCCUCGUGGUGAUGCGGUCAAAGGCUUUGUCGUAGUAUUCUAGGGCCCAUGUCCUGUGGCUCUGAUACUUCCAAGUAGCGCAUCUUCAUCAACUGAGGAAAAUCCAUUUCCUCUUUCACUUCCCAAUCACUACGAACUUCAACUGAAGAGUCUCGGGGUUUCUGCAGUACCUGUGAUUUCUGAUCCCAUUUCUGCCUAACCCCAAAUUGUUUCUGGAACUUUUUCUGCAGUCGAAUGCGUUCUCUGGAAAGACAGACAUUCACCUCUCUUUCUGUUUGGCACUCUUAGGCAGGAUCUGCAGGUUGAACUGCAACAUGUUCCGACGAUCUUUGUCUCUGCGGAGGUUC
rnacentral:lncRNA from 1 species